GAUGAACGCUGGCGGCGUGCCUAAUACAUGCAAGUCGAGCGAAUGGAUUAAGAGCUUGCUCUUAAGAAGUUAGCGGCGGACGGGUGAGUAACACGUGGGUAACCUGCCCAUGAGACUGGGAUAACUACGGGAAACCGGGGCUAAUACCGGAUAACAUGUUGAACCGCAUGGUUCGAAAUUGAAAGGCGGCUUCGGCUGUCACUUAUGGAUGGACCCGCGUCGCAUUAGCUAGUUGGUGAGGUAACGGGUCACCAAGGCAACGAUGCGUAGCCGACCUGAGAGGGGGAUCCGCCACACUGGGACUGGGACACGGCCCAGACUCCUACGGGAGGCAGCAGUAGGGAAUCUUCCGCAAUGGACGAAAGUCUUACGGAGCAACGCCGCGUGAGGGAUGAAGGCUUUCGGGUCGUAAAACUCUGUUUUUAGGGAAGAACAAGUGCUAGUUGAAUAAGCUGGCACCUUGACGGUACCUAACCAGAAAGCCACGGCUAACUACGUGCCAGCCGCCGCAGUAA
rnacentral:rRNA from 1 species